GUAGGUGGCAAGCGUUGUCCGGAAUUAUUGGGCGUAAAGCGCGCGCAGGCGGUUCGUUUAAGUCUGAUGUGAAAGCCCACGGGCUCAACCGUGGAGGGUCAUUGGAAACUGGAGAACUUGAGUACAGAAGAGGAAAGCGGAAUUCCACGUGUAGCGGUGAAAUGCGUAGAGAUGUGGAGGAACACCAGUGGCGAAGGCGGCUUUCUGGUCUGUAACUGACGCUGAGGCGCGAAAGCGUGGGGAGCAAACAGGAUUAGAUACCCUGGUAGUCCACGCCGUAAACGAUGAGUGCUAAGUGUUAGGGGGUUUCCGCCCCUUAGUGCUGCAGCUAACGCAUUAAGCACUCCGCCUGGGGAGCACGGCCGCAAGGCUG
rnacentral:rRNA from 1 species